rnacentral:rRNA from 1 species
AUGAAGCAUCAUGUUAAGUUAUAUGUGGAGGAAUGUCAGGUUUGCAAACAGGCCAAACCCGAACGGGUGCGACACCCCGGUCUGCUCGAGCCACUGCCCGUACCUAAGCAAGCAUGGGAACUGAUCACGAUGGACUUCGUCGGAGGGCUGCCACAGUCAGCGCGCUACAACAGUAUUCUGGUCAUGGUGGACAAGUUCUCCCGGUAUGCUCACUUUAUACCCCUGUCCCACCCCUUCACAGCGUUUCAAGUGGCGCUGGCUUUCGUCAACAAUAUUUACAAGCUCCACGGACUACCAGAGGCAAUAGUGUCCGAUCGGGAUCCCCUUUUUACCAGUACCAUGUGGAAGGAAAUAUUCAGGCUGACCCAUACUGAGUUGAAGAUGAGCACCGCUCGCCACCCCCAAACAGACGGGCAAUCGGAGCGGGUGAACCAGUGCCUGGAAACUUACCUUCGCUACUUUGUGCAUGUGUGCCCCUCCGUGGUCAUCCUGGUUAGCCUUGGCAGAGUUCUGGUACAACACUUCCCUCACUCAGCCUUGGGCACUUCACCCUUUGAAGCAUUAUAUGGGCAUGCCCCAAGACACUUUGGCAUCAUCGACCCAUUGGCAUGUGCGGCACCGGACCUGGCAGACUGGCUCCAAGACCAUGCACAAAUGGAAGCAUUACUCAGGCAGCAUCUUCUCCGCGCACAACAACAAAUGAAGUAGUCCGCCGAUAAGCACCGGUCCGAGCGCACCUUCAGUGUCGACGACUGGGUUUUCCUCAAGAUGCAGCCAUACAUCCAGCGCUCUCUGACAACGCGAGCUAAUCAAAAGCUUUCCUUUCGAUACUUUGGCCCCUUCCAGGUGAUCAAGCGAGUGGGACAAGUGGCAUACAAGCUCAGGCUGCCGGCAACAUGCACCAUCCACCCCGUCUUCCACGUCUCGCAGCUUCGGCGCGCCCUUCCUCCCACGGAGCAGGCGCUGCCCGACUUACCGGAGGACGCGGCGCCAAGUCCCAUUCCGGAGGAGAUCCUCGACAACCGCCUCCAUGUUCGCGACAAGACUCAAGUGGAGCAAGUGCUGGUGCGCUGGACGGCUCAACCAGCGUCGCUAGCAACCUGGGAAGACCGGGAGGAACUACAUCAGCACUAUCCAGGAGCACCAGCUUGGGGACAAGCUGUUUCUGAAGGAGGGGAGAGUGUUACGACCCCGGCUCGCACCCACACAGGCAGCACACCGGAGGGAACGGCCCAGUAG